UACGGAGGGUGCAAGCGUUAUCCGGAUUCACUGGGUUUAAAGGGUGCGUAGGAGGGCAGGUAAGUCCGUGGUGAAAUCUCUGAGCUUAACUCAGAAACUGCCGUGGAUACUAUCUGUCUUGAAUCCCGUGGAGAUGAGCGGAAUAUGUCAUGUAGCGGUGAAAUGCUUAGAUAUGACAUAGAACACCAAUUGCGAAGGCAGCUCACUACACAAUCAUUGACGCUGAGGCACGAAAGCGUGGGGAUCAAACAGG
rnacentral:rRNA from 1 species